rnacentral:lncRNA from 10 species
GCAGCUUUGUAUUGGCUCUCUCUCUCAUUUCUUGCCACAUUCUUGUUUUGCUUCAUCCUGGGCCUAAGGAUUGCAUUACAGAUGAGGAUAUAACAUAUAAUCCUUCCCCUCAGUCUCUAAACCCAAGUUAAUAGAAAUACUUUUUCCUGAGGUAAAGAAUGAACCCCUUAUUGUAUAAAAUAUGCUCAUGGUAACACCUCCUCAAAUUACAAAGUAUUUCAGGUAACAUAGGAGAUAUACAGCAGGUCCUCCUGGUAUAUGAUUCAAUGUCAUUUUGUUACAAUGUUGAUGAGAAAAAAAAUGUAUUCCUGGCUGAGGUCACUAUCUGUGUAGAGUCUGCCUGCGUGUUCUCCCCAUGUCUGUGUGGGUUUUCUCUGGGUACUCUGGUUCCUUCCCACAUCCCAGUGAUGUGCACAUUAGGUUAAUUGGCACAUCUAAAUUGUCCUGGUCUGAGUGAGCGUGGAUGUGAACGUGCUCUGCGAUGGGAUGGUGUCCUCUCCAGGGCUGGUUCCUGCCUUGAGCACUGAGCUGCCAGGAAAGGCUCCAGCUACCGGCAACCCUGAACUGGAAUAAGCAGUCAUCCAGGGACCAGGACUAAAGGAGACUGCUGACUUGCAUACACAUCUUCCAAGAACACACUGGGCAUCAACAUCCAACAAGCGAAAAAAGGAAGGAGCAUGUAGGAUGCCAUGGACCUGGUCUAAAAAUGACACACAGUACUUUCUCUAAUAUUCCACUGGCUGGAUUUCAUCUUAAUGGGUAUACCUAACUGCAGGGAAUUCAUACCUAACUGCAGCGAAUUCAUACCUAACUGCAAGGAAUUCAUACCUAACUGCAAGAAGUCAGAGAGAAGCAUAUGACACGUUCAGAAGAAAGGAACUGCCAUAUUGUGGACAAGGUCACAUGGCAGGGAAUGGUGGGCAGCCUCUAGAAGCUAAGAGCAACCCCCAGCUGACAGCCAGCAAGACAUCAGAGACUUCAGUCCUACUGCCCCAGAAACUGAAUUCUGCCAACAACCUGGACGAGCCUGGACAGAAACCUGAGCCCAGAGUGAGAAAUGCAGCCCCAGCCAACACCUGGAUUUCAGCCUGAUGAGACCCUGAGGAGAGAAUCCAGUCAUGUUGCAUCUGGAAUUCUGACCUAGAGAACUGUGAGUUUGUAAAUUUGUGUUGUUUUAAGUUGCUAAGUUUGUGAAAAUUUGUGAUGCAGCAAUAGAAAACUGAUAUCCUGUGCCUGGCGUGGUGGGUCAUGCCUGUAAUCCCAGCACUUUGUGGGGCUGAGGCGGGCAGAUCACAAGGUCAGACGUUCGAGACCAGCCUGGCCAACAUGGCGAAACCUCAUCUCUACUAAAAAUACAAAAAUUAGCCGGGCAUGGUGGCACGCACCUGUAAUCCCAACUACUCAGGAGGCUGAGGCAGGAGAAUCAAUUGAACCUGGGAGGCAGAGGUUGCAGUGAGCCGAGAUUGUGCCACCAUACUCCAUCCUGGGUGACAGAGUGAGACUCCGUCUCAAAAAAAACAAAAACAAACAAACAAAAAAAACUGAUAUCCUGUCCUAUAGUAGGCAUUUAAUAAAUAUAUGUGGAAUGAAUGAAUGAAUGAAUGAAAGAAAUUUUGAUAUGUUACAUGGUAAAGGUAAGAUAAUUAUAAGAAAGGCAAAAUAUGAAACUAUACUUGUGAUUUUAGAACUAAGUUCUGGAUAGUUUUAAUAACCACAUAUCUUGUAUUAUUUAUAUACAUUCAU